rnacentral:misc_RNA from 1 species
GUUCGAACCUUUUAUUUUUGCCUCUUUCCAUUUUCACAGGACCCGUCGGGCUCAAAAUUCCGAUCGGUUCACCGCCGGCGAUCUUAUUCCUCUAUUUUCAUCUGAAUUGUGGCAAUGAAACUGUUAUAGAACUUUCGAGAAACCCAUUCCCCAAUUAAUUGACGAAAACAAAAACGCAUUUGAGGGGGUGGGCAGCGGUGGAGGAAGAGAUAAAUUGAGCAGAAAUGUCUAGGCAAAUGGCAAAUGCUGCUUUUCACAAAUCCAAGACGCUUGAUAACAAAUAUAUGCUUGGAGAUGAGAUUGGGAAGGGAGCUUAUGGUCGAGUUUAUAAAGGUCUGGAUUUGGAAAAUGGAGACUUUGUUGCAAUUAAACAAGUUUCUCUGGAGAAUAUUGCUCAGGAGGAUCUCAACGUCAUUAUGCAAGAGAUCGAUUUGCUUAAGAAUUUGAACCACAAAAACAUUGUGAAGUAUCUUGGAUCCUUAAAGACAAAGAGUCAUCUUUUCAUAAUUCUUGAGUAUGUAGAGAAUGGCUCACUUGCUAACAUUGUCAAGCCAAACAAAUUUGGGCCUUUUCCAGAAUCUUUGGUUGCUGUUUACAUCUCUCAGGUAUUGGAAGGAUUGGUUUAUCUACAUGAGCAAGGUGUAAUUCAUAGGGAUAUCAAGGGUGCAAAUAUAUUGACAACUAAAGAGGGUUUGGUGAAACUUGCUGAUUUUGGUGUU